rnacentral:misc_RNA from 1 species
GUGAAUCAUCGAAUCUUUGAACGCAAAUUGCACUCUCCGCGGAGAGUAUGCCUGUUUGAGGGUCAGCCUUUAAAAAAUCGACAUCGUUGCUGUUUCGCGGUGGCGUUCGUCGGUAAUUGGGUCAUCUUAAAUCAUUGUGGUUUUUAAGCGACUUAAAAUUUGCUUUUGAGCACAUGAUCGUUUCUAAGAUUUAUAUCUUUACACGUUUAAGGGUAUCGAUUUUAUUAGACGUGGCCGUCAGAUCGGGUCGCGUCCAUAAUCUUUCAUUAACUGACCU